UACGUAGGGGGCUAGCGUUGUCCGGAUUUAUUGGGCGUAAAGAGCGUGUAGGCGGUUCGGUAAGUCUGUCGUGAAAUCCUGAGGCUCAACUUCGAGCUGUCGGUGGAAACUGUCUGGCUAGAGUCCGGAAGAGGAGAAUGGAAUUCCUGGUGUAGCGGUGAAAUGCGCAGAUAUCGGGAAGAACACCCGUGGCGAAGGCGGCUCUCUGGAACGAUACUGACGCUGAGACGCGAAAGCGUGGGGAGCGAACAGG
rnacentral:rRNA from 1 species